rnacentral:misc_RNA from 1 species
ACAAGCGCAUAAGAAGAAGAAAAGGGACGCGAGAAAUCACGAUUUCUCCGUAACACAUGUGGAGAAGCUACAAGGGCGUACGGUGAAUGCCUGUGGCGUCAAGUGCCGAAGAAGGACGCGGUACACUGCGAAAAGCUCCAGUGAGGUGUGUGCAACCGCAAGAACUGGAGAUCU